rnacentral:rRNA from 1 species
GCGAGGUGGCUGCAUGGUUGUCGUCAGCUCGUGCCGUGAGGUGUCGGGUUAAGUCCCAUAACGAGCGCAACCCCUACCUGCUAGUUGCCAGCGGGUCAUGCCGGGGACUCUAGCGGAACUGCCAGCGUAAGCUGCGAGGAAGGUGGGGAUGACGUCAAAUCAGCACGGCCCUUACGUCCAGGGCUACACACGUGUUACAAUGGCCAGUACAGAGGGCAGCCACCCCGCGAGGGGGCGCUAAUCCUAAAAGCUGGUCCCAGUUCGGAUCGGAGUCUGCAACCCGACUCCGUGAAGCUGGAUUCGCUAGUAAUCGCGCAUCAGCCACGGCGCGGUGAAUACGUUCCCGGGCCUU